CAUCGCCCCCUACUGCUCCCUGCGUUCCUCGCCCUUCUGUUCUGUCUGCAGGCUAGAUCUUGCAUGGUUAACUGCAGAUCAGGCUGCCAAUGGCUGGGUAUAUAGGCUAGCUUAUGCCGUAUACAAGCAGUGCCUAGCUAGCUACAUGCAUGGAUGCGUGCUAUUUGGAAGGAAGAUCCAGAGCGCGCUAGUUCUAGGACGCUUCUGAUUAACCCUAGGGCGCAGGAACAACGGCAAAGAGGCUGAUGAGGCCGGGGAGCGGAGGCACACAGCCUGCUGCUUGCAUGAGGUUGAAAUUAGAUCCAGCGGCAUGCAUGGUGUGCAUAAAUUGCAUGGUUGAUCAUGUACAAGCAAUGGAUCUAUGGAGCGAUAUUGGUGAGGUUCAAUCCGAUGCUAGGUCUUACAAUCGUGGUAAGACCAGUAUCUGAUUGAGCCGUGCCAAUAUCUCUCCCUUGCAUGCUUCCUCCGCCCAACUACAUCUCCAUGGCAGGUGAGCACUAUCUACUCCAUCGAAGUCUAGCAUUUUAAUUAUUUUUCUGCAAACCAUGCACCAAGUGAAAAUAAUUAAUCGACCCCUGUUUUUGGACAUGAAUUAUAUAGUUAAAACAGUCUGAAGUCUGAAAAUGUCCUAAGGCCUUUGCUAUAUACCCCGAGAGAGGCUACGCACUCAAGUUCGGUGCACCCAUGAUUUUUUUUUUACUUAAAAGGGUAAUGUGAUUUUUUGGGUCCAAGCUAUAGCUAUUCAGUACAGUACAUAACAGUACCUUUCACACAAGUAAUAAAUCAUUUUAAGUUUCAUAUUUCCAAGGCUAAAAUUCAGCCAAGUUUUGUGACAAGUCUCACAUAUUUAGUUUUGUUCAAAUCACAACAUGUUUCAAGUUUUUGAUUUUCAGAUGCACUAAUUGCGAGUAUUCUCUAAGAUUUUCUCAUCUAUAUAUGGAAUGUGGUUGGAUAUUUAUAUUUCUUCGAAAGAAGGUGGUUGGAAACAUUACUCCCAAGUGAUUAUAGACUCCACGUACGUACCCAGCCAGAUAACAAAUAUCAUGGAGUACAUUCGUUAGUUUAAGAUCAUUUGUAUGCCUAUGCCUAGACUUUUUUUUAACACUUGUAUGCCUAGACUUCACCAGAUAAACUUGCACUACCAUGCGCUGGAUAUGUUUAUCUAGGUGGUAGAAGUAGAGCAACAUUCUUACCCCUUUUGCCUGGACUUCAAACAGUAUCAUGUUAAUUGUCUAAGGGCAUUGGUUUAUAGUCAAUCAAUGUCUAUUUGUUAAUACUCCGUAUGCUUUUGAAUGAAUCGAGGAAACUAAUCGUCAAGCAGUAAGCCGUGCUAGGAUAGGGUUUAUCCUCCUCUUCAGGAAAAAGUAAGCCAUACCCAUGCACUCAAGCUAGCACUAUAACAUUUAUUAAAUACGGAAAGUUGUAAAAAUAAAUAAAUUGUGAAGAUUAUUAUUACAAACACAUAAUUCUAUUUCUUCUACCCUUGUGCUAGGUGCAAAUUUGAAUUAAUAUUCUUAGUUUAAGUUGUAGUUAAUGAUGCAAUCUACAUGAAUUUUUUUAGUUAUGUUAAAUUGUAUUAAUGCACUGCCAAAUCUAUUAGAAUCUGAGUGCUAUAGAUAUUACUUUGUGUAAAAUGUUUGAUUUUUUAUAUUAUUUGUAAAUUUAUAUCAAAACUGGUUUGUAAAUCAGAAUUCCCAUAAUUGAAGUUGACGUCUGAUGUGAAUGCAUCUAAAUUCUUAUCUUUCGAAAAGAAGGUUGUAUACCCUCGGAUGUGAAGGCACCAUAUGUGCUUCUAUCUGUAUUAUCUGUUUCAUGAUCGAUAUAAUUGUAAUCGUUGGACGUUAAAUGUUUGAUCUGUUUGUAGCAUGCACUAUGUUAUGUCUGACCUAACACACAAUUAGACAAAUAAGAUUUGAUCAAAAUACAUCUGAGUGGGGGACUAGUGAUAACUCCGUGAUCACCAUGACCAUCUUAUAAUUGGAAUGCUAGGUGUUGCUUGUUAGCGGGAUGUGUGGCGUUGAAUCAACAAAAAGUGGAUGAUGGCAAGAUGAUGUUCGGUGACGGACGUUGGAUGAAAACUUACAGAUCAACGAGGCUUUUGUUUUAUGUACUCCACUUUGUCUAGAGAAGAUAAUAAAAUAUUUUGUACAAUAAUUCACCUCUUA